CUUCCCAAAGCAGUGUCUUUCGCCAUAGCCCGCCGCUCUCUCGACAACGCGGUUCUCCAGAUUUCGCUUCUUGGUUUCUCUGAAUUCCUCUGUAUUCUUCUAAUCAUCCUUGUUCGCGAUCGUUUUCUGAUUUUCCUUCUCGAGCCGAUCUCAGGUCUUCUCGAUUUUACGCGAUCGGUUUUGGCUUGGUUUCCCCUGAAAUUCAGCCGGAAUCAGGGUUUUUGUCGUUUUUUUCUUGAUCAGUCGAUUCAUUGUUGCGAAUAUGGUGGUGGGUUCUCAAAACCCUAGCAAUUCUGCGUUCGUGAAGCCUCUCUCACUGGCUGAACCGACGGCGGCUGAUAUCCAACGCAAUUCAGAGCUGGAGAAGUUCCUGAUUGAUUCUGGGUUAUACGAAAGCAAGGAGGAAACUGAUAAGAGAGAGGAGGUUCUCAGUCAAAUCAAACAGAUUGUAACCAAUUGGGUGAAAGCUCUUACCCGUCAAAGGGGCUAUACGGAUCAGAUGGCGGAGGAGGCAAAUGCAGUCAUUUUGACAUUUGGUUCUUAUCGUCUGGGCGUCCAUGGACCGGGGGCUGACAUUGAUACUUUGUGCAUUGGUCCGUCUUACAUCAACCGAGAGGAGGACUUCUUCAUUAUUUUGCAUGAUAUUCUGGCAGAGAUGGAAGAAGUCACAGAACUAUACCCUGUUCCAGAUGCUCAUGUCCCUGUGAUGAAAUUUAAGUUCCAAGGAAUAUCAAUUGAUCUACUUUAUGCUAGCAUAUCGCUUUUGGUUGUUCCACAAGACGUAAAUAUUUCCUGCCCCAGUGUACUGUAUAAUGUGGAUGAACAAACUGUUCGCAGUCUAAAUGGCUGCAGGGUUGCUGGUCAAAUACUCAAACUAGUUCCAAAUAUCGAGCAUUUCUGUACUACUCUAAGAUGUUUGAAGUAUUGGGCAAAAAGGCGUGGUAUUUAUUCAAAUGUUCAUGGGUUUCUUGGUGGUGUGAACUGGGCUCUUCUAGUUGCACGUGUCUGCCAGCUUUAUCCUAAUGCAAUUCCCAGUAUGCUGGUUUCUCGGUUUUUUAGGGUGUAUACUCAGUGGCGGUGGCCAAAUCCUGUUAUGCUGUGUGCAAUAGAACAGGAUGAGCUCAAUUUUCCCGUGUGGGAUCCCCGCAAAAACCCUCGUGAUCGCCAUCAUCUCAUGCCAAUUAUUACUCCUGCAUACCCUUGCAUGAAUUCCAGUUAUAAUGUCUGCCCGAGCACACUACGUGUCAUGGAGGUGCAAUUCAGCCGUGGUAACAUUGUUUGUCAGGAAAUUGAGUUGAAAAAGAUGCCAUGGAGUACAUUAUUUGAGCCUUACCUUUUCUUUGAGGCGUACAAAAAUUUCCUGCAAAUUGACAUAGUUGCAGCAGAUAUAGAUAAUUUGCUGGCAUGGAGAGGCUGGGUGGAGUCACGUAUGAGACAGCUCGUUCUGAAGAUUGAGAGAGACACAAAGUCAAUACUGCAAUGCCACCCUAAUACAAGUGGAUUUAUGGAUUGUUCGAAGGAAUACCCAAAUUGUUCUUUUUUCAUGGGUUUGUGGAGAACCGAGGGAGUAACUUGUAGAGAAGGCCGGCGGUAUGAUAUACGAGGAACAGUGGAGGAAUUCAGGCAUGAGAUCAACUCGUACAUGUUUUGGAGACCUGGAAUGGACAUACAUGUGUCUCAUGUGCGUCUACAGGAGCUUCCUGACUUUGUUUUUCCCCAUGGAAUUAAAAGAUCCCAACCUUUGAAGCAUAAACAGCAGGCUGAGAAUAUCAACAGAGGUUGUCAUUCCGGUUCAGAUGAGAGACAUGCCAAGAGGAAGAAUGAUGAUGAACCGCUGGAUGUGAAACAGGACAGACCAAACAAGCGAGCAUCUUGUAGCCCAAGAAGGAUAGAAACUCUGGUUUCUGACAUUGGUAGCAGCUAGUUGCCUGUCGAAUCUCUUAUCAAUUUAAUGCGGGCAAUUGAAUUGAACAAUCGGUAACCGGUAAUGUGGAUGAUGCGUGUGGAAAUAGUUCAUCUACUGAGAAAUUGAUACAGAGACUAGAGUGCAGCAGGAAACAAUGUAGAAAUAAGCCAAGGGAAUGAUGAAACUUCCACGGAAUCAGAUACAAGUAAUAUGGAACAAAAUGAACCUGGGUGAGCAUGUGAAAUCAGUUUCCGAGAUUCUUGGCAGACAGGCAAAUGGCUGUAGAUAUUUCUCGGAGGGUUUGUGGAGGAAAUUACAGAUCAGGAGCCUCAAUUCUGAGGUGAGUUUCCUCAUUUGAAGUUCUUUGUUUUCUUGGACUGACACCAGAGAAGACAAACCACGGGGAAGUAACGGGAGGGGAGCUUCUACAAGAGGACGCAACUUUGCACCUUCAUCUCUUGACAGCAUGAAUGAAAUACUGCAUUCAGCUUGCUGAAAAAAUGGAUUCGAGGAAAGAAACAGGUCUCACACCAAACUCUUGAUAAUUGACUUCUGAUCUUUGUCGGUCAUAUUUAUGGGCUGACUCUACAUAGCAACUAGAUGUAAUAUGUAUUUCCUUCUCAUCCUGCCAAAUUUUUGGUACCUGUUUCUCUUUCUCUUCGUAUCUGCUAACAGAUGCGUGUGUAUUGCGGCAGGUCUUGGACCAUACUGAUGUUACCAAUCCAGUAACUCUGCUAUAGAACUUGUGUUUUUCAUCUACCAUCGACUCUUGGAUCAUUAAGUUUUCUAACAUUGUUAACUGCCUCUGAUUUCAUCCUGUCCAGGAACUGCUGCUCUCUGGCUUUCCAUGGCAGAUUAAAGUGUGAAUACAAGUAGCUGAAUCUGUGAUACAGUACAACUCUCGAAGAUCAUCCUCUAUGAACAAAAAGAAGCGCUGCCGGACAGAAACGUUACAUUACAUUACACGGGGGAGUUGAAGAAAUCUCCAGCUUCAACACGUUUACUCUCUCUCCGACCAGAAAGGCUGAUGAGC